GUGAAAGGGCCACACAGCUGGUCUCUAGCACAGCAGGAGAUUCCCUGACCCCUGGCCUCGGGGCAAAGGACAUGACACAGAGACAGCAGCAUGCACGGCUUCAGAAUAUAUUCACCACCUCCUAGGAUCCUUUUGUGGGUUGUCAGUUCUGCAAUUUUUUUAGGUUACAAAUCAGUUUGCUUUGCAGAGAUGAUUUUGACACUGUAUCCUGUUUCAAGGAAAGAAGAAAACCAGGAAGGUGCUAGACUGAAGGCUAAUCCCAGCAGCACUCUUACCACCCUGAAUGGCACACAAUUGCAAUGCUAUAAGAGAAGA